ACUGUACGAAGUCUGACACAAAGCUUCCGGCCUAAACUGUAGCUAACGGGAAAGCUUUUCUUUUUUCUUUUUUUUUUCUCGGAAAGCCCUCAACCGACAUGAAAGCUGCGUGACCUAAGAGUGAAAGCAGACAAAAAGGAAAUGACUCGUUGAUCAGUUAGGGUACAAAGAGGGGGGUCUAAUCACUUUCUGAACAUUUUUGUACCAAGGCGUUGACAGUCCAGAGAUUUCUUUGACAAAGUGCAAUCUGUAGAUUGGUCUUUUGUUCAGCCUCACAUUUGGAUUUUCUGUCAAUAUCCUGCUGGUUAUAAAACAGGCUCGUCGCAGGCCGGAGGGGGAAGGAGAACUUUACAAGGCAAAUUGUCAGAGCAACAACUGAAGUUUCACUGUCAGGUUACACAAAUCUACAGAAUCACUGUGUAAAGCGGGUGCAUGCAUACAGCUGCCUUUUCUGCCGAUCUCGCCAUAAAAGCUGUAGGGGAAGAUCGGAAGGCUGUUUAAUGAAAAAUGGAAUUUAAUUGGUGAACGAGCAGAAGGUAAAUAUGGAAUAAUAAAAAAGAGGAACGCAGUGGGAACAGUACAGGGAAGUUGAGAAAUAUUUACCCCUCCCCUUU